CCCCCCGAGGGCAUGCCUCAGUAGCGGCGAGUGAAGCGGCAAGAGCUCAGAUUUGAAAUCGUGCUUUGCGGCACGAGUUGUAGAUUGCAGGUUGGAGUCUGUGUGGAAGGCGGUGUCCAAGUCCCUUGGAACAGGGCGCCCAGGAGGGUGAGAGCCCCGUGGGAUGCCGGCGGAAGCAGUGAGGCCCUUCUGACGAGUCGAGUUGUUUGGGAAU
rnacentral:rRNA from 1 species